CAGCAGCCGCGGUAAUACGGAGGGUCCAAGCGUUAUCCGGAUUCACUGGGUUUAAAGGGUGCGUAGGUGGAACGAUAAGUCGAUGGUGAAAGCCUACAGCUUAACUGUAGAAUUGCCAUUGAUACUGUUGUUCUUGGGUAUAGUCGGGGGAAGUGGAAUGCGUAAUGUAGCGGUGAAAUGCAUAGAUAUUACGCAGAACACCGAUCGCGAAAGCAGCUUCCUAGGCUAUUACUGACACUGAGGCACGAAAGCGUGGGGAGCGAACAGGAUUAGAUACCCUGGUAGUCCACGCCGUAAACGAUGCUCACUCGCUGUUGGCGAUAUAUUGUCAGCAGUUAAGCUAAAGCAUUAAGUGAGCCACCUGGGAAGUACGUCCGCAAGGAUGAAACUCAAAGGAAUUGACGGGGGCCCGCACAACCGGUGGAACAUGUGGUUCAAUUCGAUGAUACGCGAGGAACCUUACCUGGGCUUAAAUGUAGUUUGACUUCCGCCGAAAGGCGAUUUUCCUUCGGGACAAAUUACAAGGUGCUGCACGGCUGUCGUCAGCUCGUGCCGUGAGGUAUCGGGUUAAGUCCCUUAACGAGCGCAACCCCUAUUGUUAGUUACCAACAGGUUAAGCUGGGGACUCUAGCAAAACUGCCAGCGUAAGCUGGAGGAAGGUGGGGAUGACGUCAAGUCAGCAUGGCCCUUAUGUCCAGGGCUACACACGUGUUACAAUGGCCGAUACAAAGGGCAGCCACCACGCGAGUGGGAGCUAAUCCUUAAAAUCGGUCUCAGUUCGGAUCGAAGUCUGCAAUUCGACUUCGUGAAGGUGGAAUCGGUA
rnacentral:rRNA from 1 species